UACAGAGGUCUCGAGCGUUAGGCGGAAUCACUGGGCUUAAAGCGUGUGUAGGUGGAUCGUUAAGUACCUUGUGAAAUCCCACGGCUUAACCGUGGAACUGCUUGGUAUACUGGCGGUCUUGAGCCAGCUAGGGGCUACCGGAACAAAUGGUGGAGCGGUGAAAUGCGUAGAUAUCGGGAGGAACACCUGUGGCGAAAGCGGCUCACUGGACCACAACUGACGCUGAUGCGCGAAAGCUAGGGGAGCAGACAGG
rnacentral:rRNA from 1 species